GGUGUAUGGUGUGUGUAGUGUCCGUCUAUGUCUGGUGCGGCAGCUCGUCUGUGUCUUACGGAUGAUGCUGCUGCACCCACACCGAUCCCAUGGCCACAGAACAACGGGGAUCAUAGUACUGGCCCUGUGAACCCCUUUACCACUGGUCAGCCUCCAAACUCCCCGACAAUA
ensembl:snoRNA